rnacentral:rRNA from 1 species
GUAGGUGGCGAGCGUUGUCCGGGAAUUAUUGGGGCGUAAAGCGCGCGCAGGCGGUUCUUUAAGUCUGAUGUGAAAGCCCACUGCUCAACCGUGGAGGGUCAUUGGAAACUGGAGAACUUGAGUACAGAAGAGGAAAGCGGAAUUCCACGUGUAGCGGUGAAAUGCGUAGAGAUGUGGAGGAACACCAGUGGCGAAGGCGGCUUUCUGGUCUGUAACUGACGCUGAGGCGCGAAAGCGUGGGGAGCAAACAGGAUUAGAUACCCUGGUAGUCCACGCCGUAAACGAUGAGUGCUAAGUGUUAGGGGGUUUCCGCCCCUUAGUGCUGCAGCUAACGCAUUAAGCACUCCGCCUGGGGAGUACGGCCGCAAAGGCUGA